rnacentral:tRNA from 1 species
GUUGUAGCUCAAUUGGUAGGGCGCUUGCCUUUCAUGAAUGAGGCCCUGGGUUUAAUCCUCAGCACAACA